AAUGCUUUUGGAUUGAUCUCUUGGUUAGUUAGAAUAGCAGCUAAAGUCUGAUUGUCCCGGCCCCUCAACUCUCAUCAGGUACCACACCUUACCUGAUGCUGCUGUGCUGUGGUCGCAGGUGAAUAACAGAGAGUAAUAAAAACAACUUACUAGGAUAUUGAACUUUAAAAAAUCUCUGUAGAGACUGAUUUCCAGAAAUGUUGCAGGGGCAUAUAAUUUAGAAAUUCCUUUAAAUCUCCAGGGUAGACAAGAUAAGAAAUUUCAGAAGAAUUUCACAAAAAUAAUAAAUUUAUUAUUUCUCAGUAAUAUAGGUAUUUGGUUCUCUAUAUUUUAGUAGCUAGUUCUCCACUAUAUAUUUUUAAAAUCAGAAUGUGUCUUCAUCUUCAGGAUCACAUUCCUGGAUUAUGCCAAGGGAAAGAACACUUUUUCUUCUUUGGAUAUGCAGAUUAUACAACCCUACAAAUAUAGGGCAUGUUGGGGCUUAUGGGACUGAGGAAUAAUACUCUUGCUCACCCCCAAGCCCCUGGGUUAGGUACCAGUUGAGUGACACACGUGGAGUGUGACAAAUGGAGAAAUAUCGGCAUUCGAAGAAAAAAAAAAGGG
rnacentral:lncRNA from 1 species